UACGAGUCCAGGGGUGACCGCAGGAUGGU
rnacentral:piRNA from 1 species